AACGAACGCUGGCGGCAGGCUUAACACAUGCAAGUCGAGCGCCCCGCAAGGGGAGCGGCAGACGGGUGAGUAACGCGUGGGAAUCUACCUAUCUCUACGGAACAACUCCGGGAAACUGGAGCUAAUACCGUAUACGUCCUUCGGGGGAAAGAUUUAUCGGAGAUGGAUGAGCCCGCGUUGGAUUAGCUAGUUGGUGGGGUAAUGGCCUACCAAGGCGACGAUCCAUAGCUGGUCUGAGAGGAUGAUCAGCCACACUGGGACUGAGACACGGCCCAGACUCCUACGGGAGGCAGCAGUGGGGAAUAUCGGACAAUGGGCGAAAGCCUGAUCCAGCCAUGCCGCGUGAGUGAUGAAGGCCCUAGGGUUGUAAAGCUCUUUCGCAGGUGAAGAUAAUGACGGUAACCUGAGAAGAAGCCCCGGCUAACUUCGUGUCAGCAGCCGCCGCAGUAA
rnacentral:rRNA from 1 species